UUCCAGACUUUGAUUAUGGCUCAGGAUGAACGCUAGCUACAGGCCUAACACAUGCAAGUCGAGGGGAAACGGCAGCUUAGCUUGCUAAGCUGGACGUCGACCGGCGCACGGGUGAGUAACGCGUAUCCAACCUGCCCCACGGUGAGGGAUAACCCGCGGAAACGCGGCCUAAUACCUCAUGGUCUCCGAGUUUGCCAUCAACCUUGGAGUAAAGAUUCAUUGCCGUGGGAUGGGGAUGCGUCUGAUUAGCUUGUUGGCGGGGCAACGGCCCACCAAGGCUACGAUCAGUAGGGGUUCUGAGAGGAAAGCCCCCCACAUUGGAACUGAGACACGGUCCAAACUCCUACGGGAGGCAGCAGUGAGGAAUAUUGGUCAAUGGGCGAGAGCCUGAACCAGCCAAGUAGCGUGCAGGAAGACGGCCCUAUGGGUUGUAAACUGCUUUUAUGCGGGGAUAAAGCGGGCGACGUGUCGCCCUUUGCAGGUACCGCAUGAAUAAGGACCGGCUAAUUCCGUGCCAGCAGCCGCGGUAAUACGGAAGGUCCGGGCGUUAUCCGGAUUUAUUGGGUUUAAAGGGAGCGCAGGCCGGGUAUUAAGCGUGUUGUGAAAUGUAGGCGCCCAACGUCUGCACCGCAGCGCGAACUGGUGCCCUUGAGUACGCACGACGUUGGCGGAAUUCGCCGUGUAGCGGUGAAAUGCUUAGAUAUGGCGAAGAACUCCGAUUGCGAAGGCAGCUGACGGGAGCGCUACUGACGCUCAUGCUCGAAAGCGCGGGUAUCGAACAGGAUUAGAUACCCUGGUAGUCCGCGCGGUAAACGAUGGAUGCCCGCUAUUUGCGCAUUAGCGCAAGUGGCCAAGUGAAAACGUUAAGCAUCCCACCUGGGGAGUACGCCGGCAACGGUGCAACUCAAAUGAAUUGACGGA
rnacentral:rRNA from 1 species